rnacentral:rRNA from 1 species
AGAGUUUGAUCCUGGCUCAGGAUGAACGCUAGCGACAGGCUUAACACAUGCAAGUCGAGGGGCAGCAGGGGAGUAGCAAUACUCCUGCUGGCGACCGGCGCACGGGUGAGUAACACGUAUGCAACCUGCCCUUGUCAGGGGGAUAAGCGGAAGAAAUUCCGACUAAUACCGCAUAACGCUGCGGGGAGACAUCUCCCUGCAGCCAAAGAUUUAUCGGACAAGGAUGGGCAUGCGGCGCAUUAGCUUGUUGGCGGGGUAACGGCCCACCAAGGCGACGAUGCGUAGGGGUUCUGAGAGGAAGGUCCCCCACACUGGUACUGAGACACGGACCAGACUCCUACGGGAGGCAGCAGUGAGGAAUAUUGGUCAAUGGCCGGGAGGCUGAACCAGCCAAGUCGCGUGAGGGAAGACGGUCCUAUGGAUUGUAAACCUCUUUUGUCAGGGAGCAAAAACUGCCACGCGUGGCAGGAUGAGAGUACCUGAAGAAAAAGCAUCGGCUAACUCCGUGCCAGCAGCCGCGGUAAUACGGAGGAUGCGAGCGUUAUCCGGAUUUAUUGGGCUUAAAGGGUGCGUAGGCGGACAGUUAAGUCAGCGGUAAAAUUGAGAGGCUCAACCUCUUCCCGCCGUUGAAACUGAUUGUCUUGAGUGGGCGAGAAGUAUGCGGAAUGCGUGGUGUAGCGGUGAAAUGCAUAGAUAUCACGCAGAACUCCGAUUGCGAAGGCAGCAUACCGGCGCCCAACUGACGCUGAAGCACGAAAGCGUGGGUAUCGAACAGGAUUAGAUACCCUGGUAGUCCACGCAGUAAACGAUGAAUACUAAUUGUUCGGGUCGAGUGAGAUCUGAGUGAUACAGCGAAAGCGUUAAGUAUUCCACCUGGGGAGUACGCCGGCAACGGUGAAACUCAAAGGAAUUGACGGGGGCCCGCACAAGCGGAGGAACAUGUGGUUUAAUUCGAUGAUACGCGAGGAACCUUACCCGGGCUCAAACGACACAGGAAUGAUCUGAGAAAUCAGGCAGUCCUUCGGGACCUGUGUCGAGGUGCUGCAUGGUUGUCGUCAGCUCGUGCCGUGAGGUGUCGGCUUAAGUGCCAUAACGAGCGCAACCCCCAUCGACAGUUGCCAGCAGGUCAAGCUGGGCACUCUGUCGAGACUGCCGGCGCAAGCUGUGAGGAAGGCGGGGAUGACGUCAAAUCAGCACGGCCCUUACGUCCGGGGCGACACACGUGUUACAAUGGCAGGUACAGCGGGAAGCCACCUGGCGACAGGGAGCGGAACCCGAAAGCCUGUCUCAGUUCGGAUUGGAGUCUGCAACUCGACUCCAUGAAGCUGGAUUCGCUAGUAAUCGCGCAUCAGCCACGGCGCGGUGAAUACGUUCCCGGGCCUUGCACACACCGCCCGUCAAG